UACAGAGGUCUCAAGCGUUGUUCGGAUUCAUUGGGCGUAAAGGGUGCGUAGGCGGCGUGGUAAGUCGGGGGUGAAAUCUUGGAGCUUAACUCCGAAACUGCAUUCGAUACUGCCGUGCUUGAGGACUGGAGAGGAGACUGGAAUUUACGGUGUAGCGGUGAAAUGCGUAGAUAUCGUAAGGAAGACCAGUGGCGAAGGCGGGUCUCUGGACAGUUCCUGACGCUGAGGCACGAAGGUCAGGGGAGCAAACGGG
rnacentral:rRNA from 1 species